UACGGAGGGUGCAAGCGUUGCUCGGAAUUAUUGGGCGUAAAGGGUAGGUAGGUGGUCUCAUUUGUCUUAGGUGAAAUCCUUGGGCUUAACCCAAGAAGUGCCUCAGAAACGGUGAGACUAGAGUCCUGGAGAGGGUCGUGGAAUUCCCGGUGUAGCGGUGAAAUGCGUAGAGAUCGGGAGGAACACCAGAGGCGAAGGCGGCGACCUGGACAGGUACUGACACUCAACUACGAAAGCGUGGGGAGCAAACAGG
rnacentral:rRNA from 1 species